GGGUACCCAACUAUAUCGCUUUUUCACUUAAGGGUACCAAUGUAGCAAAACGUUCAAUCGAGUGUAUGAAGUUAUCAAAACCGUUCAAUGUAGGGUAUUCCGUCACCCUCCGUUCUAAAUCGAUGACGGAGGCCAAAACACGUGCGUUUCACGUGAUAUUUUAGCCUCGAACUACCACUUUUGCCCCUCAUCUAAACGAUCAAAAAGACCCGUUAUACUCGAACUCAAAACACACUCUUCUUCCCUCCCAACGCAACACAGCAGCCGAACUGGAGAGAUCGGGCUCUCAAACAUUUUCGUCCAACAACAUCGUGAAAAGUUACGGCGCCGGGGUGAAAUGGAGCCUAUGUCCGACAGUGAGUCGACAGAGUCCAGAUCAAACGGUCCAGUAUGCAAAUGUGGAAAGACAUCAUCAUCUUGGACGUCGUUCACCCUAAGUAAUUUUGGUAGGAGGUUUUUUUCAUGUGUAGAUUACAAGAAACCAGAGGUGAGAUGUGAUUAUUUUAAAUGGCGUGAUCCUGAAAUCUGUGUCUACGGUCAGAGAGUUGUGUCGAGAUUGAGAGAUUGGCAC